rnacentral:rRNA from 1 species
AUUGAACGCUGGCGGCAGGCCUAACACAUGCAAGUCGAACGAGUGGCGGACGGGUGAGUAAUGUCUGGGAAACUGCCCGAUGGAGGGGGAUAACUACUGGAAACGGUAGCUAAUACCUCAUACCAUCGGAUUUGCCCAGAUGGGAUUAGCUUUUAGGUGAGGUAACGGCUCACCUAGGCGCCGAUCCCUAGCUGGUCUGAGAGGAUGACCAGAGAAACUGGAACGUAGACACGGGCCAGACUCCCACGGGAGGCAGAAGUGGGGAAUAUUGAACAAUGGGCGAAAGCCUGAUGCAGCCAUGACGAGUGUAUGAAGAAGGCGUUCGGGUUGUAAAGUACUUUCAGCGUGGAGGCGUUACCCGCAGAAGAAGCACCGGCUAACUCCGUGCCAGCCGCCGCGGUAAUAC